CCGGGGCCGCACGCGCGCCACAUUGAAGGAAUCAGCGUGUGCUUUCCCGGUCCGACAGGAUUGGGUAACCCGUUGAACCUCUUUCGUGCUGGGGAUAGAUCCUUGAAAUUAGUUCUUGAACGAGGAAUUCCCAGUAAGCACGAGUCAUCAGCUCGUGUUGAUUACGUCCCUGCCCUUUGCACACACCGCCCGUCGCUACUACCGAUUGAAUGAUUAAGUGAGGUCUUCGGACUGGCGCUCGGGUUAGGCCUCCGGGUCCGAGCCGAAGUGCCGGAAAGAUGACCAAACUUGAUCACUUARAGAUAGUAAAAGUCGUAACAAGGUUUCC
rnacentral:rRNA from 1 species